CCUACGGGUGGCAGCAGUGAGGAAUAUUGGUCAAUGGGCGGAAGCCUGAACCAGCCAAGUAGCGUGCGGGAUGAAGGCCCUACGGGUCGUAAACCGCUUUUGCACGGGGAUAACACCCUCCACUUGUGGAGGUCUGCAGGUACCGUGCGAAUAAGGGCCGGCUAAUUCCGUGCCAGCAGCCGCGGUAAUACGGAAGGCCCGAGCGUUAUCCGGAUUUAUUGGGUUUAAAGGGUGCGCAGGCGGAAGAUCAAGUCAGCGGUCAAAUUGAGAGGCUCAACCUCUUCGAGCCGUUGAAACUGGUGUUCUUGAGUGAGCGAGAAGUAUGCGGAAUGCGUGGUGUAGCGGUGAAAUGCAUAGAUAUCACGCAGAACUCCGAUUGCGAAGGCAGCAUACCGGCGCGCAACUGACGCUCAUGCACGAAAGUGUGGGUAUCGAACAGGAUUAGAUACCCGAGUAGUC
rnacentral:rRNA from 1 species